ACGCUCGACACCUACGGGGGCAGCAGUGAGGAAUAUUGGUCAAUGGGCGCUAGCCUGAACCAGCCAAGUAGCGUGAAGGAUGAAGGCUCUAUGGGUCGUAAACUUCUUUUAUAUAAGAAUAAAGUGCAGUAUGUAUACUGUUUUGUAUGUAUUAUAUGAAUAAGGAUCGGCUAACUCCGUGCCCGCAGCCGCGGUAAUCUGAGCGGGCUGGCAAGGC
rnacentral:rRNA from 1 species